rnacentral:lncRNA from 1 species
AAAAAUUUGAAAUAUAAUACAAUAAUUAUUUGUAGAUAACUGGUACGUUUAACUUUGUGGGACAAGGAGACGUCUAAUUUCAGGGAGUAAAAUCGCAUAUCUACCAGGAAAAACUAAAUCGUAAUCAUCACAAGUAUCAUUCUACGGUUACAUGAAGGUAAUAAACUAAACAUAAAGUUUAUGUCAAACUAAAUUCUUACAAAUAUUUCACUUUUUCAGGGAAACUAUCACUUACAACCACACCUGGAUCGCGCUUCUACUUUGACAACGAUAUUGAUAUCAUACAACGCUUCCAAAAGAGGAAUAAAUGUCUAUCCUAAGCCUCAUAGCAAACGACACCAGUCAACUUUUUUAAAAUUUACGUUACAGCUUUCUACGUCA